UCGGCACUCGCGUCCCUUUGGUAACACUGUAUGGCCAGGGCUGUGCCUCACUCGCUGGCCUUUCCCCCAGCGCUGGAUGGCGCUUCAAUCAGAUGACAGGGUGUCAGGCACACCUUUAGCAGGGACAGAGGUUAAAGACCGCCCUUUGGCACAAAGGUUAGCGCGGUACCCCUCCUGCUGGUGUCCUCUUGCACAGUGAUGGGAGUCCAGGCUUUCUCCGGGAGGCCCCUGCUGCCCUUUGGAAGGCUAAGGCCCUUUCCUCCUUCGAAUUUAAUUAGGAUUUCCCCCCACACCCAAACCUCUUAAAUCUUCUUCACCUGCUUGUUCUCAAGAGCCACGUGAAAGGACCCAGACACUCUGAUGUAAAGAACCUGACCUAGAAAUUGCCGUACGGCUAACGAGGUUUGAGCUCCAAAAGUGAGGGAAGAAUGCUGAAUCAUCCUGCUCCUAACAACCAAACUGGAACGCACCCUCUUUUCCAGGUCGGCCUCGUUUCUUCUGUCUCGGCGUCUGCCCCGAGUGUGGGCCUACACUUGCUUCUUGAAAUUGUUCAUGUUAAGACCUGCGAGUGACCAAAGAACUUCAUCGGCAUCCGGGACUCUGUCUCCGAAUAAGUACAUGUCCUCCUCACAAAACCAGUUACACAUCCACUCCUGACCCCCCAGAUGCAGAGGGAAUCACAGUGCCUUUUAAGGCAAUUCCCUCAGUCAUCCAACAAACACCAACUGAAGGCCUACUAAGCACCCGUGCCAGAGUCUCCAUUUGAAGAAUCCUCAGUCAUUAAGAAGGAUUGAGAAUAAUUCACAAAUACGUGUGGAAUGAAGAACGUGUGGUUUCUGAGAAGGAAAUGGCAGUGGACAGGACUCUCAUGCUACAUCCAGCAGGAAGGUGGAGGCGAUGUGUUUUCUACAAGAGCGUCUCAGGCACCUGAAGAUCAUUUACUCUUCCCAAAUCUGCCAGCUACAGCCUGAAAUUCUCAUCUCUGGGUUUGGGUUCCCGCCAGCCUCCACAGAGGAAAGAUCGGGAGUAACUUUAAGCAACUGGCAGAGUCCCUGCUCACACCUGCUCCAACCUGACUCCGUCACCUCCUCCCACAGGAAUCUCAAGAAGGAACGGAAAGAAGCGAAGAUACGUCAUUUAACUUCCUAAACGACAAUAUCGCUGUCCAGCCUCAAUUCAGUUCAAUUCCACAUCUGCUGAGAAAGGUACUGUGGGCUGCUUAUGUCCUAAAGCAUACUUAUUCCGUUUCACUGGCUUGGAAUUAGGAGAUGAGGUUUUAGCCACCGGAUUGCCGCUAACUAGCGGGAUGGCGCUGCGCACGUCACUCCAUCGCCUGGAGCCGAAUCAGGUUCUUCACGUGCGAAACGAAGGGGUCAGAAUGGAUGCUGUCUCACUGCGUUCCAGCUCUCACACCAACCCUCCAACGGGAAAGAGCAUCAGGGUCAUCCCCACUCUAUUUCAGAGCCAGUGAGUUCUAAAGUUUAUUUCAGAGGAAUACUUUGGCUCAGCAAAUUGCCAGUGGUUUUCUACAGUUGACUCUAGAAGAAACUAGGAAAUAUACUGAGUAUCUUUAUUCAUUCAAAUAUAUUUACUGAGUGCCUGUUAUGUGUGAGACACCACUUAGACACUGUCACAACACCGAACAAAGCAACAAGCUCACUCUUCCCAUGGAAUUCAUUUCCUUGUGUGUUAAAGGAAAUGCACCCCCCAUGCACCAAAUACAUCUUCAGCUGCUUUGGAUGUGGCAGAAACAGCGAUCUAAUAGGGUUGUUUUGUGCGUUGGGAUGUGUGGGGAACAAUCUCUGAGUUAGCAAAAAAUUAAAACCGCUCAAAAAAAAA